rnacentral:rRNA from 1 species
CAGCAGCCGCGGUAAUACGUAGGGUGCAAGCGUUAAUCGGAAUUACUGGGCGUAAAGCGUGCGCAGGCGGUUAUAUAAGACAGAUGUGAAAUCCCCGGGCUCAACCUGGGAACUGCAUUUGUGACUGUAUAGCUAGAGUACGGCAGAGGGGGAUGGAAUUCCGCGUGUAGCAGUGAAAUGCGUAGAUAUGCGGAGGAACACCGAUGGCGAAGGCAAUCCCCUGGGCCUGUACUGACGCUCAUGCACGAAAGCGUGGGGAGCAAACAGGAUUAGAUACCCCUGUAGUCCCUGUCUCUUAUCC